UGGGGAAUAUUGGACAAUGGGCGAAAGCCUGAUCCAGCAAUGCCGCGUGUGUGAAGAAGGCCUUCGGGUUGUAAAGCACUUUUAGUCGGGAGGAAAUACCCCGCAAGGGGAGCAGACGUUACCGACAGAAAAAGCACCGGCUAACUCCGUGCCAGCAGCCGCGGUAAUACGGAGGGUGCAAGCGUUAAUCGGAAUUACUGGGCGUAAAGCGCGCGUAGGCGGAUAAGAAAGUUGGGUGUGAAAUCCCCGGGCUUAACCUGGGAACUGCAUUCAAAACUACUUGUCUAGAGUAUGGUAGAGGAGAGUGGAAUUUCCGGUGUAGCGGUGAAAUGCGUAGAUAUCGGAAGGAACACCAGUGGCGAAGGCGACUCUCUGGACCAAUACUGACGCUGAGGUGCGA
rnacentral:rRNA from 1 species